CCCGUUCACACCUGAAGGUCCUAUUAGUUAUUAAGUUCAAAAUGUAUCGCUUUUAACUGGUCUGUAAGCAGCCGAUGUGACUCAGACAAAGCUGUAAUGUGGACAGAGGCAUCACUUGGAGCUAAAAUUUGGCCUUUCUGCAGAGGAUCCUGUUUUCCAGGGUUCACACAAGUUCCUAGGAGCCCAGGAUUCAGCGUUUGGGGAUCGUUCUGUGGGACCAGCUGGGUUUGGGUCCGCUUGGCUUCAGCAGAGCAGCAGGUAUAAACCUGAAACUCUUCUGGAGGAUUUGUCAGCACCAUCCUCCAGCAAAGCUGAUGGCUUUUCCUGCCAGGAGAGAGACUCCUGAGGCCCUGCUGGGAGAAUGACAGCUCUGGCCUGCUGUUCACUUUAGGCAUUGGAGGAGCAGAGCUUGGACAUUUCAGCCGUGCAUGGAACACCUUUUGUCUCGGGUUUCAAAACAGCCUCUGGAGUAUAAAACUCCUCACCCAGCUGACAAACAAACUGAUUUAUUCUGUUUGCUCUGCACUCUUUGCCAUCUGUCCUCCUAAUCUUACAUCUUGAGGGAACAAGAUGGAAUUGACAGUGUUGAAUGCAGCUGUGGAAAGGACAAAACUCCUGCUUUUGAGACAUCCACCUCCGACUGUGCAGGUGUGACAAUAAAUUGUGUGAGGAGCAGAAAGUGUCCCAGCACAGCAUCACCAGGGCCCUGCAAUUACUCACUGGGGCUCCCAACAAAACCAUUUGCUGAUGAAAUUGUUUCUUUGAGUCUCCAAACUGAAGGGUGACUUGUAUUUAAGGUGUGAUUUCAGCAGCGCAUUUGCAUAGAGAUGCUCUAAAAUUAGUUCAGUUGCCUAAAAGGCUGUUUUGUAAUAGCAAAGAUAUUGUUUGUAGCAUUUAAAAUUAAUAUAGAAAAUAAUAUGCCCCAUGUAUUUUUGUCUUUUCCUAUUUUAAUUUUGAGACCCAAAUGCAGACUUACAUCAGUGAGCAGUGAGUGAUGAUUUAGUAGCACUUUGUGUUUUACACAAGUUAAAGUGAGCAACUAGCAGGUUGUUCAGGAGCAAAAUCUUAAUUUAAAUCCUUAUUUUAAAAAACCUCACUUAAUUGCACCUCCACAGAAUUCUGGAAAACCAUCUUCUACGUGCAGAUACACAGUUUUAUGUAUAUUAUUUAAGAUAUUCACCAUCCAUUCAGAUUUUCAGCUCAUUUUUUUGGAGAUGAGGCUUUCUGAAGUACAAAUCUUAUUACUCUUAGGGGAUAGCAGCAGGAAAACCUGUCUGUGUCUGCAUUUUGGAAAAGGGAUGUAGUGGUUCUACCUGCACCUGCUGAACACGAGCUAAAGUUAUGCUGUUUCCAAAAGGAAAAAAAAAAGCAUUAUAAAUGAACGAAUCUUAGCAGAAGAUAUCAGACAUAAUCCUCCACUCUUUGUGGUAGAGCAUUAGGAGGAAAAUAAUUUCCAGAUUUAGGCACCAUAAUUUGGGAAAAAUAUGGACCACGUGAAGAGUAUCUAAAAAAAAAAAGGGAAAAAAUCUGUAAAAAAAUAUUGAACUUGGGUUGCUUUUCUUGCAAACAAGACCAGGGUGGCUUUACAAACCUUCAGAAAGAAGGAAGAGAAUUUAUCCUCUGUGUCUAUUCACCCAUAAAAAUAAAUUUAUUAACUACAAAGCUAGACAUCAGAAAACCAUUCUUACUGUGAGGGGAUAUUUGUAAUAGAUUGUGAGUUUCAGCUGAGGAAAAGAUGAGACAAACAUCAGGUUGGAGUGGGGAGGGGAAUAGCUGGAAGAUUGUUUGAGAUCCCUUCCAGCCCUGUUGUUCUAAUUUUAUGAUUUAUUUUUUUAAUAACUGCUGUAAGCACUCUUGUACAAUGAGUUAGAAAAAGUCAUUUUAUAAAGUUGUAACUUCAGUUACUGAAAAAUCAUUCCUUAUUCCAAGUAAACAUGUCAUCUUCA